rnacentral:rRNA from 1 species
UAAGGAAUAUUGCGCAAUGGGGGAAACCCUGACGCAGCAACGCCGCGUGGAGGAUGACACUUUUCGGAGCGUAAACUCCUUUUAUCAGGAAAGAAUAAUGACGGUACCUGAUGAAUAAGCACCGGCUAACUCCGUGCCAGCAGCCGCGGUAAUACGGGGGGUGCAAGCGUUACUCGGAAUCACUGGGCGUAAAGGACGCGUAGGCGGAUUUUCAAGUCUUUUGUGAAAUCUAGUGGCUUAACCACUAAACUGCUUAGGAAACUGAUAGUCUAGAGUAGGGGAGAGGUAGAUGGAAUUCUUGGUGUAGGGGUAAAAUCCGUAGAGAUCAAGAAGAAUACCCAUUGCGAAAGCGAUCUGCUGGAACCUAACUGACGCUGAGGCGUGAAAGCGUGGGUAGCAAACAGG